AUGGAAACUAAUUAUCCUUAUACGCAACGCGUUUUCUGGACAACCCUUUUCGGUUCUGCGUGAGUUACUCCGGCUGUGACUCCCGGUUUACCAAACUUAGGAUGUCAAUCACCCCAAUCAAUCACGAAUCAUUCCUUUCCUUUUAAACCAACCCGACACCACCCUAUAUAACCCGGCUCCAUCCUUCACUUCGAAACCGUACCACACCUCGUUUCACCUCCGUUCACUCCGUCGCCGGGAUCCUCCGACCACCACCUCACCGUCGGAGUUCACCACCACCGAGCACCGCCACUUCGCCGAUUUCGGGUAAUCCUCUUGUGCACACCCUUUGGAAAAUCCCUGAUUCUUUAUCGUUUCCAAGAAAAGCGCAACGCAAUCAAUGUUGAUUUAUCAAGAAUUCAAGAAAACAAGCUAGGAUGGCUUUAGAAACACAUUUUAGUUAUAAACCUUGUUGAGAUUAUGUUUUGGAUAUUUGAAACUUUGUAUUGUUCCCUAGUUUUAAUAAAUGGAUUAAUUUUAU
rnacentral:lncRNA from 1 species